rnacentral:rRNA from 1 species
UACGACUACAUAUCAGGCAUAUCAAUAAGCGGAGGAAAAGAAACUAACUAGGAUUCCCUCAGUAACGGCGAGUGAAGCGGGAAGAGCUCAAAUUUGAAAUCUUCAAGGUUCUACCUUGACGAAUUGUAGUUUAAAGAAGUGUUUUCUGUUGGAGUUUUGGUAAAAGUUCUUUGGAAUAGGACAUCAUAGAGGGUGAGAAUCCCGUAUUUGACCAUUAUUUCCAGCUUUGUGAUACACUUUCAAAGAGUCGGAUUGUUUGGGAAUGCAGUCCAAGAUGGGUGGUAAAUUUCAUCUAAAGCUAAAUAUUGGCGAGAGACCGAUAGCGAACAAGUACCGUGAGGGAAAGAUGAAAAGAACUUUGAAAAGAGAGUUAAACAGUACGUGAAAUUGUCAAAAGGGAAGCGUUUGACACCAGUGUUGUUUCUACGAAAAUCAAUUUAUGAUGGCUUGAUGCUAAGCUUUAAGACUUUAUCCGCUUGUUGUUUAGUUUUCUUGUCUUUGUGAAUGCACUUUUCGUGAACAAGUCAACAUCAAUUUCUUUUGCUGCUAAAAGGGUAAGAGGAAGGUGGCUUCGGCUUCGGUUGAAGUGUUUAUAGCCUUUUAUCUCUGCAGUCGGAGAGAUUGAGGUCUGCAGCGUAGACUCUUCGGGGUUAGAUACGUCGGUGCUAAGCUAUAGCUUUUCAUAGACAACUUGUUGACUAUGUUUAGUCAUGUGGCUUACCCGCUGGCGCUAUUUUACCUACCUUAGGAUGUUGACUGAUAUGUAGUCGUA